rnacentral:rRNA from 1 species
UACAGGUGUUGCAUGGCUGUCGUCAGCUCGUGUUGUGAAAUGUUUGGUUAAGUCCUUAAACGAGCGCAACUCUUUUUUUUAGUUGCUCUUUAUGUUAUAAUAAAGCACUCUAAAAAUACUAUUUACGAUGAGUAAAAGGAAGGAGAAUUAUGUCAAGUCCUCAUGGCCCUUAUAGACUGGGCUACACACGUGCUACAAUGGCAGUGACAAUGGGUUAAUCCCAAAAAGCUGUCUCAGUUCGGAUUGGGGUCUGCAACUCGACCCCAUGAAGUCGGAAUCGCUAGUAAUCGCGUAACAGCAUG